CCUACGGGAGGCAGCAGUGAGGAAUAUUGGUCAAUGGACGUGAGUCUGAACCAGCCAAGUCGCGUGAAGGAUGAAUGCUCUAUGGGUUGUAAACCUCUUUUAUAAAGGAAUAAAACGCGGCACGUGUGCCGUUUUGUAUGUACUUUAUGAAUAAGGAUCGGCUAACUCCGUGCCAGCAGCCGCGGUAAUACGGAGGAUCCGAGCGUUAUCCGGAUUUAUUGGGUUUAAAGGGAGCGUAGAUGGGCUGUUAAGUCAGUUGUGAAAGUUUGCGGCUCAACCGUAAAAUUGCCAUUGAUACUGGGAGUCUUGAGUACAGUUGAGGUAGGCGGAAUGCGUGGUGUAGCGGUGAAAUGCUUAGAUAUCACGAAGAACCCCGAUUGCGAAGGCAGCUUACUAAGCUGUGACUGACACUGAUGCUCGAAAGUGUGGGUAUCAAACAGGAUUAGAUACCCUAGUAGUC
rnacentral:rRNA from 1 species